CUUUGAUUUACUUGGCAAACGUUCUUUAAAGUACAAGCCCCAGCACCCCUUUACAGGUAAGUGAUGGCAAUGCGGCAGAGUGGCCAGCAGAUGGAGACAGAGAACAGAGAACGCACAAAGUCAUCAGCCUCAAGGCUUGUUUCUCAGGCAUACGUAGCACCUGGAUUUCAGAUAGCUCUCCGUAGAACACUGAUUCGAAAACCUGGCUGAACUGGAAUCGCCUGCAGAACUUUAAAACCUACAGAAUCUGACUUUAGCGGUCUGGGGUGCCGUCUUGCCAUUAGCAGGUUUAAAAUCUGCACAAGUGAUUCUAAUUACAGCGAAGCUUGAGAACCAUGCUUAAGCACGAGCAACCAGAGCGGGUCUCCAGCUGGCGAGUUUCAGAAUCACUUGGAGAACUUGUGAAAACCAGAGACUCGGGCUGUUGUAGUCUUCACUCCUUUGAGAAGCAGUGCGUACUGAAAUGGUGACCUAUUAAACUUAAGAGAGUUAAAUAUAUAAUCAGGACAGAAUCUGAUAUCAUCUCAUACUAGAUUCUAAUACAUCAGUAACUUUAGGCAUCAAAUGUUUAAGAAAAUCUUACAGGAGAUAAAUUUUAAUUGAAAAAAACGCUAACCAUGGACUUCAUUCUGCCCCUGGGUCAGCUGGGACCAUCUUGUGGGACAGAGGAAGAGGUCUCCUCUCCAGAGAAGCACAAGUUCCUGUCAGGUUCCAGGAGCAUGAACAGUCCUAGCUGGUCAUUUCGUGGCGGGGCAUUAGGAAAAUGUUGAGCUCCUUGGGCGACUCCAUUUCCAGCCUUCACGAGAUCCUUAGGAAUAGCCUAGAAUAUCAUCACCAAAGCUCUAGUAAGACCCAGCGUGACUCAGCUCCUCAAAGUUCUUUGGGGCAGGGGAGAGAAAUGGAAAAGCAAAAGGGGAAGAGAUCAGGUGACCAGAGCAGCUCCGUGUCUUCCCAUCCCUGCCAAGGUGAUUUGCUCCAGAUUGACGCUGGGACCAAUAGCAGCUCUGUAAACCGGAAGAUCGUCUCCCAGGUCCUACGGGAGAGAAGCCCUGGGUCAGGAGCUUCUGGGAAACUGUGCACUCCUCUGCUCUCUGAAGAACCCAUCCGCUUGCCUAGCCCACGACGGGCAGCUCCAGCUGCGAGGAGGAGUUAAUGAAGUGUGCGGACAGUGAUGGGAAAAGGUCAGCCUCUCCAUCACUCCUGACAGCGCUGCUAAGUGGAGGCCACGGAAGGGAACUAGCCAUAGGGUAAGAGAGAAGGACCAGAAAACAAUAUCCACUUCAUUAGCCGGUGAUUCCGAAUGUGUGGAAAGAGGCCAAGGUCCAGCCUACGGACUGUGACGAGACGUUCUUACAACGCCGUGAGGUCUGGGCAAAGGCCGGCCCAAGAGCGUCCACGCUGCCUCUAUCCAGUGCCAUCCUGGGGACCUUUUCCCUGUACCCUACCUGUCUGCCUCCUCCACACCUCUCUCCUCUUUCUUUCUUUCUUUCUUUCUUUCUUUCUUUCUUUCUUUCUUUCUUUCUUUUUCCUUUCUUUCUCUUUCUUUCUUUCUCUCUUUCUUCCUCUUUCCUUCUCUCCCUUUUCUCUUUCCUCCUUUCCUUUUAAAAUGGUAUUAAUCUUCUCUCUUUUUCUCAUUAUCCUCCUUUUCUUCCUUUGAACCUCUCUCUCAUGCUAUGCCUCCAAUCAAUUUCCCCUUUUUUCCAAAUCUUGAAAAAUUCCUAAGAGGCAGACAUCUGGUGGCCUUUGCCCAGGUUUCCACUUAUAAAAUAAAAUGUGGCACUCCAGUACA
rnacentral:lncRNA from 1 species